rnacentral:rRNA from 1 species
GGUUAAGCGACUAAGCGUACACGGUGGAUGCCCUGGCAGUCAGAGGCGAUGAAGGACGUGCUAAUCUGCGAUAAGCGUCGGUAAGGUGAUAUGAACCGUUAUAACCGGCGAUUUCCGAAUGGGGAAACCCAGUGUGUUUCGACACACUAUCAUUAACUGAAUCCAUAGGUUAAUGAGGCGAACCGGGGGAACUGAAACAUCUAAGUACCCCGAGGAAAAGAAAUCAACCGAGAUUCCCCCAGUAGCGGCGAGCGAACGGGGAGCAGCCCAGAGCCUGAAUCAGUGUGUGUGUUAGUGGAAGCGUCUGGAAAGGCGCGCGAUACAGGGUGACAGCCCCGUACACAAAAAUGCACAUGCUGUGAGCUCGAUGAGUAGGGCGGGACACGUGGUAUCCUGUCUGAAUAUGGGGGGACCAUCCUCCAAGGCUAAAUACUCCUGACUGACCGAUAGUGAACCAGUACCGUGAGGGAAAGGCGAAAAGAACCCCGGCGAGGGGAGUGAAAAAGAACCUGAAACCGUGUACGUACAAGCAGUGGGAGCACGCUUAGGCGUGUGACUGCGUACCUUUUGUAUAAUGGGUCAGCGACUUAUAUUCUGUAGCAAGGUUAACCGAAUAGGGGAGCCGAAGGGAAACCGAGUCUUAACUGGGCGUUAAGUUGCAGGGUAUAGACCCGAAACCCGGUGAUCUAGCCAUGGGCAGGUUGAAGGUUGGGUAACACUAACUGGAGGACCGAACCGACUAAUGUUGAAAAAUUAGCGGAUGACUUGUGGCUGGGGGUGAAAGGCCAAUCAAACCGGGAGAUAGCUGGUUCUCCCCGAAAGCUAUUUAGGUAGCGCCUCGUGAAUUCAUCUCCGGGGGUAGAGCACUGUUUCGGCAAGGGGGUCAUCCCGACUUACCAACCCGAUGCAAACUGCGAAUACCGGAGAAUGUUAUCACGGGAGACACACGGCGGGUGCUAACGUCCGUCGUGAAGAGGGAAACAACCCAGACCGCCAGCUAAGGUCCCAAAGUCAUGGUUAAGUGGGAAACGAUGUGGGAAGGCCCAGACAGCCAGGAUGUUGGCUUAGAAGCAGCCAUCAUUUAAAGAAAGCGUAAUAGCUCACUGGUCGAGUCGGCCUGCGCGGAAGAUGUAACGGGGCUAAACCAUGCACCGAAGCUGCGGCAGCGACGCUNNNNNNNNNNNNNNNNNNNNNNNNNNNNNNNNNNNNNNNNNNNNNNNNNNNNNNNNNNNNNNNNNNNNNNNNNNNNNNNNNNNNNNNNNNNNNNNGUGAAGGUGUGCUGUGAGGCAUGCUGGAGGUAUCAGAAGUGCGAAUGCUGACAUAAGUAACGAUAAAGCGGGUGAAAAGCCCGCUCGCCGGAAGACCAAGGGUUCCUGUCCAACGUUAAUCGGGGCAGGGUGAGUCGACCCCUAAGGCGAGGCCGAAAGGCGUAGUCGAUGGGAAACAGGUUAAUAUUCCUGUACUUGGUGUUACUGCGAAGGGGGGACGGAGAAGGCUAUGUUGGCCGGGCGACGGUUGUCCCGGUUUAAGCGUGUAGGCUGGUUUUCCAGGCAAAUCCGGAAAAUCAAGGCUGAGGCGUGAUGACGAGGCACUACGGUGCUGAAGCAACAAAUGCCCUGCUUCCAGGAAAAGCCUCUAAGCAUCAGGUAACAUCAAAUCGUACCCCAAACCGACACAGGUGGUCAGGUAGAGAAUACCAAGGCGCUUGAGAGAACUCGGGUGAAGGAACUAGGCAAAAUGGUGCCGUAACUUCGGGAGAAGGCACGCUGAUAUGUAGGUGAAGUCCCUCGCGGAUGGAGCUGAAAUCAGUCGAAGAUACCAGCUGGCUGCAACUGUUUAUUAAAAACACAGCACUGUGCAAACACGAAAGUGGACGUAUACGGUGUGACGCCUGCCCGGUGCCGGAAGGUUAAUUGAUGGGGUUAGCCGCAAGGCGAAGCUCUUGAUCGAAGCCCCGGUAAACGGCGGCCGUAACUAUAACGGUCCUAAGGUAGCGAAAUUCCUUGUCGGGUAAGUUCCGACCUGCACGAAUGGCGUAAUGAUGGCCAGGCUGUCUCCACCCGAGACUCAGUGAAAUUGAACUCGCUGUGAAGAUGCAGUGUACCCGCGGCAAGACGGAAAGACCCCGUGAACCUUUACUAUAGCUUGACACUGAACAUUGAGCCUUGAUGUGUAGGAUAGGUGGGAGGCUUAGAAGUGUGGACGCCAGUCUGCAUGGAGCCGACCUUGAAAUACCACCCUUUAAUGUUUGAUGUUCUAACGUUGACCCGUAAUCCGGGUUGCGGACAGUGUCUGGUGGGUAGUUUGACUGGGGCGGUCUCCUCCUAAAGAGUAACGGAGGAGCACGAAGGUUGGCUAAUCCUGGUCGGACAUCAGGAGGUUAGUGCAAUGGCAUAAGCCAGCUUGACUGCGAGCGUGACGGCGCGAGCAGGUGCGAAAGCAGGUCAUAGUGAUCCGGUGGUUCUGAAUGGAAGGGCCAUCGCUCAACGGAUAAAAGGUACUCCGGGGAUAACAGGCUGAUACCGCCCAAGAGUUCAUAUCGACGGCGGUGUUUGGCACCUCGAUGUCGGCUCAUCACAUCCUGGGGCUGAAGUAGGUCCCAAGGGUAUGGCUGUUCGCCAUUUAAAGUGGUACGCGAGCUGGGUUUAGAACGUCGUGAGACAGUUCGGUCCCUAUCUGCCGUGGGCGCUGGAGAACUGAGGGGGGCUGCUCCUAGUACGAGAGGACCGGAGUGGACGCAUCACUGGUGUUCGGGUUGUCAUGCCAAUGGCACUGCCCGGUAGCUAAAUGCGGAAGAGAUAAGUGCUGAAAGCAUCUAAGCACGAAACUUGCCCCGAGAUGAGUUCUCCCUGACUCCUUGAGAGUCCUGAAGGAACGUUGAAGACGACGACGUUGAUAGGCCGGGUGUGUAAGCGCAGCGAUGCGUUGAGCUAACCGGUACUAAUGAACCGUGAGGCUUAACCUU